GAUGAACGCUGGCGGCGUGCUUAACACAUGCAAGUCGAACGAAGCUGCUUAACAGAUUUCCUUCGGGAUUGAUGUUUUGUAGACUGAGUGGCGGACGGGUGAGUAACGCGUGGGUAACCUGCCCUGUACAGGGGGAUAACAAUCAGAAAUGACUGCUAAUACCGCAUAAGACCACAGCACCGCAUGGUGCAGGGGUAAAAACUCCGGUGGUACAGGAUGGACCCGCGUCUGAUUAGCUGGUUGGUGAGGUAACGGCUCACCAAGGCGACGAUCAGUAGCCGGCUUGAGAGAGUGAACGGCCACAUUGGGACUGAGACACGGCCCAAACUCCUACGGGAGGCAGCAGUGGGGAAUAUUGCACAAUGGGGGGAACCCUGAUGCAGCGACGCCGCGUGAGUGAAGAAGUAUCUCGGUAUGUAAAGCUCUAUCAGCAGGGAAGAAAAUGACGGUACCUGACUAAGAAGCCCCGGCUA
rnacentral:rRNA from 1 species